AUUUGAUUGUAUGCAGUGAAAUAUUGGUGGAGACGGAUUUUAAUUUCCUCAAUAGAGAUUUGAUUAGAAGCUUGGGUCCGGGUAAGAAGGUGAUGGGUGAGGUGUUGAAUGUUGUUUGCGAGGUGAACACACGUGCAGCUCUGCUAGUGUCAGCAGAAGACGGAAGAGCUUGGUAUUUGAAUACAAGAUUGACAGUAGGUUGGUCUAUUCAUUGGUUAGUUUGGUUGUUUGGGCCCGAUAAAUACUAAAUUCGACUAUAUCACAACACAGGUAGCUGGAAUUAGCAUUGACAGUUUAUUCCCAGACAAUGGUCGUGAUGAUUCUGCGCGGAAGUUUUACUUUGGUGAUUUGAAGAAAUGUCAGCAUAUUUUUAUUCCAAUCCACAAUGACAAAAUAGAACACUGGUUGCUUUUUAUAGUACACAUCGGUGAUGGUAUUGUAGAAAUAUGUGACUCGAUGUUGGACAAACAUGGGUCGUCAACUGGAAGUGCUCUUGUGAAAAUGGUGAUGGAGAAGCUUGAUUACUUACUUGCUGACCAAAUAGCCGACAAAAUGGGGCCUUCUUUUUCAUUCACCCGUUUUCAGGUUCAAACAAAUGUUGGAGUUCUUCAACAAUCAAAUGGAUAUGACUGUG